rnacentral:rRNA from 1 species
GACGAACGCUGGCGGCGUGCUUAACACAUGCAAGUCGAACGGAAAGGCCCUGCUUUUGUGGGGUGCUCGAGUGGCGAACGGGUGAGUAACACGUGAGUAACCUGCCCUUGACUUUGGGAUACCUUCAGGAACCUGGGGCUAAUACCGGAUAGGAGCUCCUGCUGCAUGGUGGGGGUUGGAAAGUUUCGGCGGUUGGGGAUGGACUCGCGGCUUAUCAGCUUGUUGGUGGGGUAGUGGCUUACCAAGGCUUUGACGGGUAGCCGGGCUGAGAGGGUGACCGGCCACAUUGGGACUGAGAUACGGCCCAGACUCCUACGGGAGGCAGCAGUGGGGAAUAUUGCACAAUGGGCGGAAGCCUGAUGCAGCAACGCCGCGUGCGGGAUGACGGCCUUCGGGUUGUAAACCGCUUUCACCUGUGACGAAGCGUGAGUGACGGUAAUGGGUAAAGAAGCACCGGCUAACUACGUG